rnacentral:tRNA from 1 species
GGUGGUUUGGAUGAGUGGCUUAGUCACCGGUCUGCAAAACCGUUUACGGCGGUUCGAAUCCGCCAACCACCU